AACGAACGCUGGCGGCAUGCCUAACACAUGCAAGUCGAACGAGACCUUCGAGUCUAGUGGCGCACGGGUGCGUAACGCGUGGGAACCUGCCCUUAGGUUCGGAAUAACCCCCCGAAAGGGGUGCUAAUACCGGAUAAUGUCUUCGGACCAAAGAUUUAUCGCCUUUGGAUGGGCCCGCGUUGGAUUAGCUAGUUGGUAGGGUAAAAGCCUACCAAGGCGACGAUCCAUAGCUGGUCUGAGAGGAUGAUCAGCCACACUGGGACUGAGACACGGCCCAGACUCCUACGAGAGGAAGCAGGGGGGAAUAUUGAACAAGGGGCGAAAGCCUGAUCCAGCAAUGCCGCGUGAGUGAUGAAGGCCUUAGGGUUGUAAAGCUAUUUUACCCGGGAUGAUAAUGACAGUACCGGGAGAAUAAGCUCCGGCUAACUCCGUG
rnacentral:rRNA from 1 species